rnacentral:lncRNA from 1 species
CAGCGCUGCAUUUCACAGGGCCGCUUCAUUCCGUUAUUGCCUAGGAGGACAGAAAACAGAAAAGUUUUUUCUCAAAGUGUUGCAGACCGACAACCCGGGACCGUAGAGGACAGACCAGAGAACAGUAAGUGUUCUAUAUGUAUCUAUCUCUCUAUGUAAAGGCAUGAAUGUAUUUGCUUUUUGUUUGUGUUCAUCUUCUCACUCUGUGUGCUUUUAAAGCAAGGGAAGGGCUGUGAUAGCUCCAACGAAACAAUGUGAACGCGUAGUAGUGUAGGGUAUUGUGAAUUCCUAAAACGACAAAAUCUGUUCGGAUUUUAGAUCGACUCAGAAAUCCAGUCAAACAAUAUAGUUUCUCUCUCUGUCUCUCUCUCUCUCUCUCUCUCUCUCUCUCUCUCUCUCUCUCUCUCCCUCCCCCCUCUCUCUCACUCUCUCUCCCUCCCCCCUCUCUCAACACGCGGUAUGACAGCCGCGGUGCGUUUCACAGGGGCCGCUUCAUUCCGUUAUUGCCUAGGAGGACAGAAAACAGAAAAGUUUUUCUCAAAGUGUUGCAGACCGACAACCCGGGACCGUAGAGGACAGACCAGAGAACA